rnacentral:rRNA from 1 species
UACGUAGGGGGCAAGCGUUGUCCGGAAUCAUUGUGCGUAAAGCGCGCGUAGGCGGCCCGGUAAGUCCGCUGUGAAAGUCAAAGGCUCAACCUUUGAAUGUCAGCGGAUACUGCCGGGCUAGAGUCCGGAAGAGGCGAGUGGAACUCCUGGUGUAGCGGUGGAAUGCGCAGAUAUCAGGAAGAACACCAACGGCGAAGGCAGCUCGCUGGGACGGAACUGACGCUAAGGCGCGAAAGCGUGGGGAGCGAACAGG